ensembl:lncRNA
UUUGUUUUGUUUUUGUUUUCCCCUUUGCUGAGCUUGGAAAAGUGGUUGUGGAAUGGAUCGGUUUACAUUUCUUUUUGAGUAUAUACCAACUGUAUUAAGAGUUAAAUAUGAAAAAGGAUGAAAAUAAGUACGAAAGACAACAUCCGUUCUCAUUUCAAUUUCCUGGAAGGAAAGUGCGGUUGGGCAGAUGGUGCUUUUUUGUUUUACUAAACUGAAUGAUCAGAUGUAAAUAAUAUAACCAUAUAAACUAUAAAGAUCGUUGGAGGUGGCUGAAUUGUACCUUAGCUAUUUCUGUUCCCAUCCAUGGAGAACCAGGACACUGAGUUUCUGGUUAAACAGGUAGAGGAGAGUGGCUGGUAAUUUGGCAUCACGUGAGUCUCGAUAUUUCUCUUAUUUCUUAUUGUUAAUUUUCUUCAUACCCUGGCUUUAUUAUGUGUUAGGUGAUUUUUUUUUUUAGUUUGAUGUGAUUUUUAUGUUUGGAGCUCUGCUUUUAUUUGCUUUCUACGUUGGAACACUAAAUAUUCCUAGGAUGUAGAAGAAUUUGUGUUCUCUGGUAGUUACAAAAGGUCCUUAAAAAAAAGGAAAACAAACAAACAAAAAAAAAACCCAACAAACAAAAUAAUCCCACCUCUUCUAAUCAUGAAUGACUAAACGUGACUCAGUAAGGUCACUAAUACUGUCUUCUACACUGAAGGAGGAGAAAAAGACCUUGUGUGAUGAACGUCUAACGAAAUAAUACUAUGGUUUCAUUCUCAGCUAGGAUCAAACUGUAUGCUCUUUAUUUCUCCUCAUAUCCUGCAUGAUGGGGUUCAGACAGAGGGCUUGUUUGUGUUCACACUACACGAGCACCUCUACCAGUGGUAGUGAACUAGAAAUAAUAAUGCAAACCUCUUAGUAAGUUAUAAUAUCCCUGAACACCCUCCUGGUCCAUGGUGACAUCAUGAAUUUGAUGCCUUUUUACUAGAUAAAUGGACACAGCAGAGGAGGAGAAGACAUUUUCUUGCUGAAAGUGUAACACUGUAUUCCUCAGGAGAAAUGACACAUACAAAGUUAUAGAAAUCAAAUAUCAAAUCAGAAUGACGAGAUCUGUGGAAAUCUGAAUACAUAAUAUCACUGCUAUAACUCCUCAAAAAAUCAAAAUGUGGAGGCCAAUUAGGUGAUUAAAUUAAGCUGAAACUGACUUUCUGAAGUUCAUAAAAAAUUAGGAGUAGUAAGAGAAACUAGUUAGUUUUUUAUAAGCAAAUAGGAAUGUCAAAUGUAUAUAAGAAAAUUGAUUGGGUUGUGGUAUUUUUGUUGUUGUUGUUGUCGUUGUUGCUUUUUUAAUACUUAUUAACCUAAGAGACCUGUUGUCAGGGCCUUAUUCUGAGUUUUUAGCUAUUUUAAACUCAUAACUGCUGGAAUCAAAUGAUUCCACAAGAAUUUCAUCUCUUGUAAAAUAAAAUGUUAGUAGCAAAAACAGAACUUGAAAAUUUGGUCAGAAUAAACCCUAAGAUCUCAAAAAACCAAACCAAACCAAACCAAAACAACAAAAAACAAAACAAAACAAAACAAAAAAGAACACAGAAUCAUAUAUUUCUUUUUAAGCCAUUUCCAUGUUUCCAGAGCCUGAUGUAUUUUUUUUAGGCUCCUUGAUUUUAACAGUGCACAAAAAGAAGGAGCAAUACAUAAUAAUGACAUUACAGCAGUACUAUUCAGAAAGUGGAAGAAAUAACAGAAAAAAAUGUAACUGUCCUCCAUUUAGUCUGAAGCUGCACUGCAAAAGGGAAUGAAUUAGUGCUUGUAGCAAACGUGUCAUUGGAGCUAUGAUUUUAUAGGGGCAAAUUUUCAGCAUUACAUAUUAACUGAGAAAUAAAUCAAACAAAAAAGGAAAGACUUAAGCUCACAGAACCUCCUGCCUCAUAACUUUUCUGAAAGCUUGAAAAUAUCAGAGAAAGAGAUUCAUCUCCAGUUGCGCAUGGACAGCUUGGUAAUAAAUAAAUAAUAGAAGAAAUCUAAUAAUUAAAGACUCCAGAGAGAGGUCUUAGGACUGGAGGAAAAAAAGCACCAAAGCAGAGAGGCUUCAGCUCAACUGUGGUCAUGCAUCUAUCAAUUUGUUUUGGUGCACAAAGGGGGUAACUUUGCAGGAGGAUGUGUGCUGCUGAUGGGUACUGCAGGCAGGAAGCAGAGCUGGGGUGCAAGUGUCAUGGACAGACAGUGAAAGCAGCAGAAGCAGCUUCCCAUAAGCGGGCAGGGCUUCGGACGGUUGCUCACUCAUUUUCCCACAGUUAAAAGCUGACAAACUUGAAACGGUUAGGGGCCGAUAAGGCAAGUGUAGUUAAAAAGGAAGGAAAGGUUUUAAACACCUGAGGCCAAACUUCUAUCUUCUGUUGAUCUCAACUGGAAUAAAAUAAUAUUUGCAAGCCCAAGAUGUGACUCCUUGUCUCUUGUACAUAUUCUGAAACCCAUAGAAAUUGAUCAUGGAGUAUUUCUGGCUUUUCUGGCUGACCACACCAUAGACAUUGCUGUCCUCAUGUACAAACAGUUCUGUGCUUGCAGUAUGUCAUGCUAUAGGUAAAUAGUGCAUUAGCACAUUCACUCACAGACAUGUAAUUAUGGAUAGUGCUCUAAACGGAAGAGGAGAGAUACCAUUUGCAAGUAAAACAGACUGGUCCCAGGUUAAGUUACAGUUACCAAACAAAAUGGAGGCAGUCUUCAGGCCCUGACAAGCAGCUGCGAGUAAAACCUGUUGAACAAGUAAGACAUCAAGUGUCCUGUGGCAUCGGAAAGCAAAAAAUCUGAUAUUUGAUUUUUCUUUCUCUUGAAAGAAGCACUUCAUCAUGUAAACCCAAUUCUUUGUUUCGUGAGUGGGCCUGGACUGCCACUGUUCAUUACUAUGGGAGUCGAUGUAGAAAUCAACACAGUAAUGCCUUUCAUCUCUUGUAUUAUAAGAAUUCAAAUUCAAUUUUUAUUUUACAGCACAGACACAUAAUACCUCACAGUAUGGUUCUUGGUUGCAACCAUCCGUUAACAAUGGUUUUGAAAAGAGAUAUAGAACAUAAAAAUAAAACCCUAUUUUUCCCCCCAGUAGUUUGUUUCAUCUUACGAACAAUAGCAAUUCACCAUCUAAAACACACAGUAAUAGUAAGUAGAUUCUAUUAAACACUGUAUUCUUCCUAAUUUUAUUUAUUUAUUUAUUUAUUUAUUUUGACCACUGACAUAGUUAGCUGUUUCACAAAACCAGUGGUCUACAAAGUCUGGCCAACUGAUGCCUUUGCCAAUAGUAUACUAGGAUGCUAAGGGCCUUUCUUAGCUCCCAUACAGCAGACUACUGCACUUUUUCUUAUGUCAGUCAUGGAACUGCAAUACCAUGGGAACACUUAGACCUACAGUGUUUUACAGUGGGGUGCGUGGCCUGAGGUUUACAAGACUAUAACUGAUGCUGAUCAUGCUCUUAAUAAUUUACUCAGGUUCAUAUAUCUGCAUGUUUUACAAGGCUUUCAGUCUGAGUGUUUGACAAUAGCGUAUGCAUACGGUUAAGUGUAAAAGCCAUUACCCAAACAGGUGGACUAACUUUCUGUACAGUGUAUCUUUUAAAGUUGCGUGGUCAUCAUUCCUCCUUUGUCAGUGCUUCUGCUAAAGUGUCAAACUGAGGCUCUUUGCAACCAGUGGUUAGCUCUGUGGUCUAGAGACUGUUUCAUAAAAGCCCUAAAGAUAUUUCAGAAGCUAGGUGGCCCAGCAGAUUCUUUCUCUGGUUAAAAUGCAACAAAAUCCCAUCAGCCUCAGCAGUGAUCAGAGCAACAGAGGAAACAGCAACAUAUGAAAAACAGGGAUGGAGAUAUCCAAAGUAAUCUCACUAGUUUAUGUUAAGAAAGGAUUUGACAGACCUGCUGUGUUCCUACUUAAUGUCAAUCAAGCCUGAGAGGGACCACUUCAUCUCAGGUAUUUAUCUCAUACUGAUUUGAAUUAUUCUCACUUCUUGAUUUGGAAAGUCCAGAACAGAAUACCCUGAGAAGUGUGUGUUGACAUAUCCUACAUAAAACAAAAUUAAACCAAUCCAAGUCAAGGAAAUAAACAAUGUGACAUGAGAAUUGGGCCCUUUGAGUUUGACAACAAAAGUAGUCAAAUGUAGCUCUCAGUCAGGGCUGUAAGUUCUCAGAAAUUCUUCUGGGAAGUGAAAAAUCCAUGAAUUCCACUGCAUCAUCUCCUUCAUACAAAAAGGAUAAGCAAAACACGUGCAGGAAAAAUCAGAUAUAUUAUUAAUCUCUCUUUUUGCUGGUAAUCAAUAUAAGCCUUAUGUUUCUGUUGCAGACGUAACAGUAACUAAAGAGCAGCAUUCGCGGUUAAGUCUGGAUUGUCCUUCUUCAUUAGCCUAAUUCUGUGCAUAUCAAAACUUAUUCAGAAGAAAUUGUUUUAAAUGGUUACCAAGAUAUAAAUGAUUAUCACUGAAAUCACAGGAAAGAUAGUGCUUACCAAAACCCCAAGAAAGUACUUCAGACAAUUUUUCUUUCAUUGCCAAGCAGCGAAGGUCAAGUGAACUGUACUAUUUGCAAAUAUCCACCUUCCCAGUCUGUCACGAGCAGCUGUAACAUACCCACCAGCAGCAAUUUCCACUUGGAUCUAUCCAGAGGGAAGAAAGUACCAGGAAUUGCAUUGUUUAUAAUUCCCUCAACGCCAAGGGUAAUUCUGUUCACCAAUUACUUGAAAUUAAAGCUAGGUAAUUUGACACGUCUGUUUGGUACCCAACCACAAAAUACCUCUUAAGCAAACCAAAGAGUUGGAAAGUUUACUUCCACAAUACUUUACAGAAUUUCAUUAUUGCAGCCAUGACAGUAAAGUACAAAUGAGAAGUUACAUAAACUCAUGAGUAGCUGGGGUUUGGAGGGGAAGGGAGUUUGUCAUUGUUGCCAGUGUUAAGGAAUGCCAAUGGGUUUGACACAGAGCUGGAAGGCAGUUUUCUUCCAAGGAUGAGGCUUCCCAAUCAAAUAUAGCAAAUAUAGUAAGAAUUGAGCAACAAGAAGCUUCCAAGUGCAAUGUUGGACAGAAAAAGAAUGCUGUUCUCUGCAAUUAGGAGUGUUCAUACGUUGUGUCUUUGCAUGCAGUUACAAUGCUUCCUAGAAAAAGGCAAUGCAUAUGCAGAGAAAGAAUUACCCAUAUUAUCUACAGCCGGUAUUUUUUUUUAUCUUUAAGUCCACUCAUUUAAGUUACAUAAUUGAAGCCUGAGUUAGAUUAUAUCUAGACUUGGAUUUUUUUUAAAGUCAAAUAAACCUCUUAAACAUUACAUUGGUGAUGAGUUUGUGUACACACCACUUCCGUAUCUCUUUGUGAGUAACAAACUAGCUGUCAGGUAUCUCCACUGAACUGCAUGACUCACUCCGUGGAUUCAUUUUACAAUCUGGUAAAACUGGUAACUGAUAACACCUAUCCUUUGUAAGAACUUUUUAGGUGUUUUAAUUUGACAAAUGAACAUUUACAAAAAUGAAUAAAUAAAAGAUUAGACUGAUGAAGUUUAAAAACACAAAAGAUGACUCAAAAAUCCAUUCACUCAACAUUAUUUUGAGCAGUAUAGCUAAUGUCAGUGAAGUGAGCCUAGUUCUCCUUUCCAUCAGGAUAAAUGAGGUGUAAUUUCAAAGACACCAUUAUCCUUAAACAGUGUAAAAUAGGUGAACAAGAAAUACAGAGCCACUAUCUUUUACUAGUCAGAGGAGUCAAUUUUUAAUUGUGUAAUCUCGAUCUUGUUAACAUAGCUUCCUAUUUAGAAACUUUAGUGCCAAAUAAGUAGAAGGUGCUAUAUUUUUUAACUCUGAAUAUGAUUACCCUUUCAACCAUAUUCUGCAUUUCAUUUUUACUAUAGAAGUUGUUCGUUGUCCAAUUUCAAGCUGAAAAACUAUAAAAGUCCAUUUUGACUUCACUAUAGAAGAACUAAAAGUUUUUUUUUUUUUUUUUUUUUAACUAGGAUUAAAUUGAUAUAUCUAGAGCUUCAGUCAUUGUAAUAUGACAUUAGGAGCAUAGUCAAAUACUAGCUUUGACUAUAAGUGUCCUACUAAAGUAGCAGUCUACUGCAGAGUGCUUUUUGAUGUAUCAAAGAAAUGGUACUAUCUUUCAAACUGCAUUCAUAUUCUAACCUCCUAUCAUCAAGGUAAAGUAAUAGCAGGACUAAAGCAUGAUCUUUUUUUACAGUUUAUAGAAGUCAAUGCUACAAGGGAUUGCCUAGCCUUCCAUUAGAUAUUCAUGUUUAAAUGAACCACAUAUAGGCUUUCCAAUCUACAAACUCCAUUAAUUAGGUUUUCUCCUUUUCUCUUUCUUUUAUUUUAGGCUUCUUUACCUUCUCCCCUGCUGACACUGCUAUAGCUUCACUAAUGACAGGCCAAGUAAUUUUUCUUUCCCUAAAACUGAAACACUCUUACUGGAACUAUUCACAAAUAUUUCAGUCUAAUACACUUGACCAAUGACUUCAUUACUUAGUGGGUAGAUAAAUUUUUACUUCAUUAUCUUUCAGAUCUGCCACAAAUCAUAUAGAAGGUUCUACCUCAUGAGACUGUUUUUGUUUUGCAAAAACAAACAAACAAACAAAAAAACUUGGUUAGUAGACAAAAUGUCUUUAAAAAAUUCUUCACAUUUAUAGCUUUGUUAUGUCUAUACAAUGUACAGCAGACAGACAGGCAGACAGAGAGUAUACAGCCAUGGGGAAAAAAAAAAAAAAAAAGUAGCAUUAGGAGGAUCAGAGCUGGAAGUGAAUCCCCAGAGGUGGUAAGGUAUGUGUGACAAGAUAACAGAAUUUGGGUUCCCUUUUUUUCCUGGGAACGUUUCCCCACAUAUCUCCUCCACUUUUUCUUUUCCCCUGGAAAGAGCAAGUUUUCAUCCUGAGAGUGGUAGAAUCAAUUCUAACUUUUUUGUUAGUGUGAAUUUGGGACAAAAUAUAGAACUCCACAUUCACGCAGCAAUGGGGAAGAAUCUCUAAAAAUGAUUAUUUACAAAUGAAACAAUGCAUUUAUUUUGAUAUUGUUGAAUUGUGUCACUGAAGUCCACAAGCUUUCUCACUGAAGAGCUUAAAAUACUGAAUAUAUAUAUGAUAUGAAUACUACUACAGAAUAAAAUAAAAUUUUGAUAGGAUAAAUUCAGAAGAAAAAAGCAGAAAUGAAUUAAUCUACUUUGAUUUUGAGGCAUUGAAAUAGUUUCUGUUGACUAUAUUGUUAAAAUCAGCAUGUUCUUGUACAGUAUUUAAAAUACAACCUUUCUGAAAACAGUUUUUGAUCAACUUUAUGUAGAAGAAAAUGUUAUUUUUAUUGUUUUUACCAUAAAUGCAUGAAAGGUAUUCAUAAUGACAGACACUGCUGAUGAAAAGAGCCAGAUUAACACAAUGGGUCCUUCCCACAGAACGAACAGGUAAUUAGGGAUGGUAUUGCCAUAUUCAAAAUUGCUCUUUUGUAUCUGAGUCUGUUCUAAAACUGGACCAGCAAACAGUUCAAAUUCCAGACACCUUAAUCAAGCAAAAACCAAUCUUAAUUUCAGGUCCUUCUCCUUCUAAAUGAAGUCUGCAAGAGUAACAAGAAUUGUCCAGUAAAAAUGUGAAUGUGUUGUAAAUGCUACAUGGGAACCCAUGGCUAAAUGAAAGAAAAUGAAAAUAAAAAACUGUUAGUCAUAGACUUAUAGAAUGAUUUGGGAUGCAAGAGACCUUAAAGCCCAUCCAGUUCUAACCCCCUGCUGUAUGCUGGCUGCCACCCCCCAGGUCAGGCUACCCAGGGCCCCAGUCCAACCUGGCUCCAAACACUUUUAGGGAUGGGGCACCCUCAGCUCUCUGGGCAGCAGUGCCAGUGCCACAUUACCCUCUGAGUAAAUAAUUUCCUUCUAAUAUCUAGCCUGUAUCUCUCCUCUUGUAGCUUAAAACCAUUCCCCCUUGUCCUAUCAUUGUUGGUCCAUAUAAAAAGUCAGUCUCCCUCCCCCUUACUGAAAGACUGCAAUGAGGUCUCCCUGGAAGCUUCUCCUCUCCAGGUUGAAAAAGCUCUGCUUCCUCAGCUUGUCUUCAGAGGACAGGUGCCCCAGCCCUCAUCCUUGUGGCCCUCUUUAGUUCUGUGUGUAAGCACUUCAUCACAGUAAGGAUGACAGCACUGGAACAGGCUGCCCAGAGAGGCUGUGGAGUCUCCUUCUCUGGAGACGUUCAAGACCCAACUGGAUGCCUACCUGUGCAACCUGGUCUAGGGAGUGAUCUCUAGAGGUCCCUUCCAACUCCUACAAUUCCAUGAUUCUGUGAUUCUAGAUCCAUACCAACUGUUCCCUGUUUUUCUUGUGCUGGGGGUCCUAGACCUGGACACAAUAAGGAGAUAACUCUCCAGUAUAGCUGGAUGAGUCUCCAAUAUCAGGAUACAAGAUAACCCUAGUACAGAUCAAAGAAAGUAUUUAUUAUACAAAACUUUUCUCCUGCUCUCAAACGUAAACACUUUAUCUACAGAAACAUUCCAGAUUUGGUCUGGAGGGCAAACUCUGGAAAUGAAAACUCUCCAUCUGUAGAUCCACAAUCAUAGAAUCAUCAAAUCCUUAGAGUUGGAAGGGACCUUUAAAGGUAAUCUAGUCCAGCUUCCCUGCAAUGAACAGAGACAUUCACAGUUAGGUCAGGUUGCCCAGAGCCUGAUCCAGCCUCACAUUGAAAGCCUUCAGGGAAAGGGCAUUCACCACAUCCCUGGGCAACCUGUUUUAGUGGUUCAUCACUCUCAGUUUAAAAGACUUUUUACUUAUAUCCAACCUAAAUCUACCCUCUUUAAGCUUGAAACCAUUUCCUGAUUUCUUAGGUGACCAAUCAGUGCAACACUCAGGAGCAAGGUCUUAGAGACAUUCCUCAUCAGGAUUUCAAUCAUUUCUUCAUUUCAAUGUCAAAUGAUAGGUGGUAGCCAUCAUUGUUGAAUCAGUUCAUACUAACUAUGCAUCAAGACAUGCUCCCCCCACUAUCCAGAUUCUUCCACUUUCUCUUAGAUAUACAGAUCAAAUUUUAUUAAAUUCUUCCUUCUUGUCAAAGUGAAUUACAAGGAUCAGAUGGAUAGGGUUGAACAGCUUAUAAUGUGCACAUAGUAACAAUGCUUCCAGAUACAGUAUUGAAUGAAUGAUAAUGUAUGCUGAUACUGGCUCAGCUGACACUCUAUGUGGCCAAAAUUCAUUGUUACAUCAGAAAAACAAAAAUCAGGAAGGACUGUGAAGAAGGAACUUUCUUGCCAAAUUCAAAUCACAAUAAUGUUGGUAUCACUUGGGAAUAACAUAACUAAAUGGAUCUGAUUUUGCUGGCUGCAGCAGAAAUGACCAGAAAGGAAUGCUGGGCAGACCUUGCACUUCUCUGUAUAGUGCUUCUUCUGCAGCUCACGUGCUCCCAAGUCACACUGUAUAACAGCACGUACAUGACAGCCUGGUGCCACUCUCUUGUUUCACAUUGUUCUUAUAUGUAACCCUAUUUUGCCUGCAUAAAUAGGGAGGAAUUUCCAAUUCUGCAGAGAUACUACAAGUUUAGUCAUGAAGAUAAUUAAGUCCUUUGGGCUUGAACUACCCAAACAUUUCAUACUUGAAAGAAAUUCAGAUAUGACUCUUAAUGCCUGGACUACUGCCAUCUAAACAGUUUGGAUUCAUUUGAGGUUUAAUAUUAGCUCCAAAUUCUUCUUCACGUCAAUUCAUCAUUCAGAUAUUUACUAUUCCAAUUAUUAGUAUUAUAUAAUAGUCAGACAUUCUAAGAUACUGUACUGCCUACUGCUACCUACAUAUGAAAGCAAGCAUCCAUCUUUCAAAAACUUCAAAUUUAAUCAGCAAAAAAUAGAAAAAAAAUAUAUCAAAGAAGAAAAAAGUUAUUAAAGCAUUUUCCCAAAGAAAAGGAAACAUAGGAAGAGCCCAGUCAGUUGCCCCCUAAAAAAACACAGAAGACCAAUGAUCUGGAGGGAAACUCUUGAAGAUUAUUAUCUCCCAAAGCAAUGGGAAACUUCGUUACUAGGUCAUUUUACUAUGAACUUUUUGCAGCAAAAAUUAUUUCUCAUUUUUGUUGAUCACUGCAGUCAAAUAAAAUUAUUUUUACACAUUCCAGAACAUAAAGAACUCCAGCACUGACAUAAAUAUUUUUUCCAUUGACAGAAACUUAGAUCUUGAGGAAUUUACCAAAAAUGUAGGUACGUCUUGAUACAACUGGGAUGGUCACAUAACAGAUUGCUUGAUACCGAAACAGGAACACUUGCUUAAAAUCAAGCUUCAGUGUCUAGAGAUCUUUGAAGGUAAGGAGAAAGGCAGAAGAGCUGCAUUUAUCUAGGAUUACAGAAUCACACAGAAUUGCAGGAGUUAGAAGGGACAUCAAGAGAUCAACAAGUCCCCAUUAGGACAUGCACCUCUGUGCAAGAUUCUCAGCAAUUUUACUUGUAUUUCUAAGUAGAGCUCCUAGAACCACCUUUGUUUGGAAAUUACUGUAGUAUUUUAGCAUCAAAACAUGACAAUGUCUGAUUAAUUUUAUAUUAUCGCUAGCAGUAAAUGUGUGCAUAUCAGUAUAUACACAUGCUACGCCAAACAUUUUUUGAAUUAAUAUAAUUUAGGUCACUCAUAAGCCAUUUGAAAAACAUAAUUGCAAGAAAUAAAAUGAAACCUUUUAAAAAUUUUAUUGCAGUGUAAGGUUAACUCUGAGCUGACUAAAAUCUGGAUACCUUUCAAACCUAUGUUCCUCAUGUGGAGAGCAGUGGGAUAAUUCAAGCUUAGCUAUCUGAUACACUUUCUUCAGGUCUCUGCAGAAGUAAUUAAAACAGAAUAUGGAUAAAUCAUUUGCCAACUUUCAUUUUUAUUCAUAGGCUAAAUUUUAUUCUCAAACUAAUACAAAGCCAUAUUUUACUGUUGAUCAAUGUAAAUCCGAAAUGAUUGUGAGAUAGAAUACGAUUCACUUAUAUUUAAGACUAACAAAUGAAUGUCUUUUUCACAUAGAAAGGGCUUCUGAAGAGUUAUGUAAUUCAAUUUUGUCUUGAAAAAAAUGUGAACUCAGAAUUAUCAAUACUCAUGAAGCAGGUGAAACUGCGUCUUUAUUAUGAAUAGGAGGGUUACUUACAUGACUUGCUUAUGAUCUGACACCCAGAUUUAUUACCUUGUUUUGGACUGAUAUUUUUAUAAUAAUUUCCUGCCUCUUUAGCUUCUCUUUCAGUGGUGAUGUAAUGCUUUACGAAAUGAAGAGAUGAGACUGAAUCUCAAAGAUCUUAUAAAGUUCUGUCCAGUUGAUUAGGGACUGAAAAGAUUUUUUUACCUUUCAAGGUUAAAUAUUCCCAGAUGAGUCCUAUGCCUAAAAGCUUAGUCCUGCUGUUUUUCAACUAAUCAUUUGCAAAACUGAAGGAAAAAUAAAAAUUAAAAAGGUAAGACAGAAAAAAAAAAAAAAAAAAAAAAGAGAGACUUCUGGUAGGUGAGCCACAGCAGGGCAAUUAAGAUGAUAUGGCAGAGGUAGACAUCUGCUCCUAGACAGAUACAGUUCCACUGAUGCUAUCUAUAGCUGCAAUCCUUCUGAGAGAUAAACAACGUGCGAGAGCAACGCACAGAAGGAAAUACCACACUGAGAAAAUGAUGAUGGGAGACCAAGCUUGCGGCCCCUGUGGUCUGAGAAAGAGUGAGAGGCAGCAAAAGAAAAAGGGAGGGGUGACAUGUGGGGCCUGUACCAGGCACACGCAGGUGACUGAGUCGUAUGAUGGACACACAUCAAGAUGUAAAGCUGGAAGCUGUGUGAGAACUGACGCUGGAGGGGAGCAGAAUCACAGCAAAGAUGAAAGGCUGGACCUAGGGCUUGAUUUGCUUCCACAAAAGAUCAACAGCAUCGAAGUCUCAUCCUGUCAUCCUAUCUCACGCCGUUACCUCAAACCAAAAAUGCGACUCGUAAUAAUUCUUCCUGGUUACCCUGUGGUUUCAUUUGGUUAAAAAUAAAAGUUUCUUUUCUCUGUCUGGGAACAAGACAGCAAUAUCAAGAAGAAGAGUUUAAUUAAAAACUGGAGCUAAUCUCAAGACCUCAUGCUUUGGAAUUUAUUUAUUUAUUUUUAAUGUCUGCGUAUGAAAGGCUCUUGUCCAGAAAAACCUUGCCUAGAAAGUCUGAAGUUUUCUGUGUAUCUGAAGGAGGCAGAGGUGGACUUAAUGCCUUUAACAAGCAAUUCACUUGAGGCUAGAUUCUGCUAUCCUAACUCAGUUUAUACCCAAAGGUGGCAAAUUUAAAUACUUCUUCUGUCGACAGGUUGCUCAUAAAUAGAUAUAAACAGACGGCAUUUACCUCCGAUGUAUUCAUUAUGGAAAAUUGUGCAAUAAGCCUUAUUGUUUGUUUAACUUCACUCGUCUUCCUUAUUCUAGAGUGCAAUCAUGAAUGUUUGAGUGAUGUAGAUGUUGGUUUUAGUUAGUUGUUUAUUGUUUUCGUGUUUGUUUUUUUUUUUAGACUCUUGCAUUUUUCUUUCUUUCUGCUUAUUUUUAAUUUAUUUCACAUUCACACACAUAAGCCUCAACUUUUCUUUCUGAGACAUGAAAGCUGGAAAAACUCUGUUCUGUGAGUGCGUGCAGAAAGUGAAAGAAAAACAUAAAUGGUAAAUAUCUAAUGUACAUUAUUCCAAAAGCUUAAUUUUUGAAUAUAAGUGUGAAAUAAGGUCAUCCCUUUAUUAAAAUUCACCUAGAUCUACGUUAAAGUAUCAAAACAGGAAUGGUAUCAGGAAAGAACAAAGCCCUCCUACAAAUGUGUUAGUUAUUAAUGUAUAAUUUCUCCUUUUAGAGUACAAUUCUUUCAGCAUAUCCAGCAAAUAAUUCAAAUAUUUGUAGGCCAUCAUAAAAGAUCUGAUAAUUUAAGCUAGUAAAGGAAAGCUGUAAUCUUGGAGAAAUCCCCUUUGGAAUAUCUACAGUGACCAUCUAUCAACAGAGAAAGACAGUUCCAGAGAUAAAACCCCUAAUGUUCAUCAGAGUGUAAUAAUUUUUGGACAUUACAAGUGCUAAUGUAGCUUUGCUAUUCCCAGCUAGUAAUUCUUGGGGAAUCUGUCAGCUAUGGAAAUCUGUGAGAUUAGCCAUGAAAUAUAUACUUGAUUGAUAACUAUACUGUUUCUAUUAUGCUAUGGUCCUGCUUUUUUUUUUGUUUUGUUUGUUUUUUUUUUUCGAUUUUUAAGUGUAGAGUGUAAUAUCUGGGGCUUCUGAAAGAAACUAAAGAUUUACUACAGCAUAGAAGUACCCUUCAUUCCUUUUCUUUCAUGCUUUCUAAUGCAGAAAUAAAUAUGCAUAAAUAAUGCAGAAAUGAAUAUUCAUAAACAUGAAACUUAACAUGAGGAACUUUAGAAAAACAUUUAAAAAUAUAUUUUGGUGUAUGUUGCAUUAUUCAAUUUUAACCUACCAUGGUACUUUCAGGUGACAGAUUGUCAUUAUGACUAUGCUUCCUUUUUCACUGGAGUCUAUCACUUCAGAGAGUUCCCUCCCCCAUCUCAGCUUUGCUUUGCAAGCUUUUUUAUCUUUUCUACCUUGCUAGAGGCAUUAUUAGGGCAGUUCACCUUUGACCAAAUGGGCAGACGAACAUCCAUCCUCUGGAGCCAAUACUAGUGCUGUUUGGUAGAUGAGCUCUCAAAUGGUACUGAACUGUGACCUCUUCUUCUGUUCAAAGACUAAAUACAUAAACUUGAGCCUCCAUUGGUGCCAAGCCUGGGAACCUGAGUUGCUCCCUAAUCCCAGGUCUUGCAGCCAGCAGCACAAUGGGCAGCUCACCAUGCCAGUCAGCCAGCCUGAAAGAAUGUCUUUAUUCUCUCUUCCUCAACAAAUUGCUUAUUGUUUGGCCCACAGGCUGCUAGACCUUGUGAACUGUCCAAAACUUUAUUGCUUUUCUGUUAAACUUUCUUCUUUUUUCCCUUUGAUUCUGUUUAUAAAUGAAAUGAAUUUCUAUUUUCACUUCUUAGCAGUAUCAUUUUUAAAGAUGACUGUUACUUUUAAUCUUUUUUUUUCAGAGUACAUCUGCCUUUUAGAAGCCUGCAGGAACCACAGAAAUGAUGCAAGCUCUGCAGGUUUAGGGUCCUUAGAAAGAAGGGUCUGGGAAAAUGUUAAAUGUUAUAAUACAGUAAAAUGAAGGCAAAUGAUUCAGGUGUUUCCAAAGAUACUGUUUCUCUGCUUUUGGCCUCAUCUUGACUGUGACUGCCCUGUGUCUAUUGUAUAAACAUGGGAUUCUGAUUCCAGACGUUCUACCAGCCUGACAUCCACUGGGAAAGUGAUGACACCAUAAAUUAUUUAGAGGUUUGAAAACCAUGAGAACUACUGUAUAUAACCAGAUUGGAUUGACUUUUUAACUCUUUUGAUUAAUAAUACAUAAAGCCUUGGAUAUGUGAAGUGGUUGAGUGCUAACCUGUUAACAAAAGGAGUAGCAGAGAUGAAUUCUAACAUUUCUCAUAAGUUAUUCUACUUAACACAUUGGCCAAACAAAACAAACAAAUGAAAUGCUCUGCCUUAGUCUUAUACCUUCAGUGCACCAUCAAUAUUUGAUGGCUACCUAAUGUCUCUAUAUAUCUGGCCACCAAUGAUAUUUUGAUCAUCUGGCUUACCAAUUUCAGUCUUAGCUUCUUUUUCCUGUAUUUGUGAAAACAUGCCACUAGAAAGUAGAAAAAGAGUUUCAAUAUCCUGGUUUCUUUUCUGACUUUCAUUUUAACAUUACUAACUGCUCAGAUGUGAAAAUGAUAUUUCAGCCUUCAAAAAAGCAAGUGAAAACCAGAAUUUCCUAGGUUUAUGGUAUUUUUUCUCUGCAGCAGGAUGGGAGUAGACAUUUGCACUUCUACAGAUAGAUUUCAUGUUCUGCAUUUCUGCUACUGACCCUGUUUUAAUUAUCCACUUGUUUCUUAAGUUUUGUUCUUUUAUAGGUUGCUUUGGGUGGAGCUUUCAGAGAAAAGAGACACUGUUAUUUCCUUCCUAUUGAAAUACAGAAGAUGAUGCUCAUGACAGCCUGCAUUUCUGAGCAACAGAAAAAGUGACAAGAGACGUCAUUGUGCUUCUGGGUUGCCUGGCCCGUACUUCAGGAGAUAGGCUAUCCAGGGUGAUUUCAGAGCAACACAUUAAUUUACAAUAGAAAUAUAUAUGUAUAUAUAUAUUUCUGUGCAACUCUCUGGAUGUUUUUGUAUUAUCCCAAAUGACAUUUGACUUCUUUAGAUGUAGAAACAAUAUGAAACACAUUUCUUUACUCAUUCCUGUGCACUUUUCCCUUGCGAUUUCCCAUAGAAUUCAAUUUUCAACUUCUUUCUGCACAGGUGCUGGGUAUCUAUUCAACCUGCUGCAUGUCCAGACAAUAUUAAUCAAAUACUAAUACUAUCAGUUACAGAUACUAGUACAUUCUUUUUACCACCUGAUAUGCCCACAGAAUUCUCCUUCCUUGAUCCCUCUAAUGUCAGAAAUACCUGGAGGCCCAUGGCCCUCUUCUAAUUUUUUUAAACCUUGCAGACUAACCAUUCAUCCUCUCCCUGUCCAGUACCAAUGAUGCCUCACCAAUCAUUCUGGAAGCUAUAAGAUCUGUGUGAGAUUAAUCUAUGUAUAAAAGAAUGAAUAAUUCAAUUCAAAAGCACGCUUUAAAAUUUUUGUUAGUCCAGGCUCCUCAAUUUGUUCAAUUAUUUUGUUGUAAAUUUUUAGUGAUGCCUUUACUGCAAUAUAUUUGAAUUUCCUACAAUAUGAGUAAAACGAGUCUCACCUCAGCUUUAAGAAAUGAGGACCAAUUUAAGAAAAUUAUAGCAGCCCACCAAUUACACCUGAACAAGGCCUUGCUUGUGACACCAAUAAUAAAUUAAAUUAUUCAGCAAUAUUUAUUAAAUGUUAAUGAGUACCAUCACCUGACUUCCACACACAGAAGUACUGUGUGAAAUCUGUUGUCAGGUACUGUUUCCUUUUCUGAAAGGAAGUAUCAUCCAAUUUGUGUACAGAUUCUCUCCCCACUCCAAAAAGGAAGUAUAUCCAUAAAAAUAAUUAGAAUCUCUUCUAUAUAAAUGCAUAUGUCCCCCUUGUAUUCUUAUAUUCCCGCCAUAUCAAUAACAGUGUAGUCACAUUGAUUUCCUAGUUAUGAUUAAAUAUAGCACUCAAACAAUUUAUUCUCAUUCUUAAAAAAAUUCUAGAUGUGGUGUUAUUUUUGCAUAUUUUCUUGCUGCAUCUUAAGGUCUAACCGGGUGACUGAGAUCAGCAUCUGACUUUACCAGAAUAGCAUGGAUCUCAGUAUUUUUUGCAUAGUAUCUUUCAACAGCCAUAAUAAAUAAAUAAAUAAACAAACAAACAAACCAACAUUUGUAUUUUUUUUCCAUCUGGGAUUAUGUGACAAAAUGAUCCCCUGCAUCUAAUCAAUUAUU